AUAUAAUAUAACAUAAAUCACCUCAUAUAAGAGAAUUAAUUCCCCUUUGAUCUCCAUGAAUCACAAAGCAUUAUUUUUAGCUUGUUUUGUCAUAAUCCUCUGUCUAUCUUCAACAACCUCUAGGAGAUUGCCAGGUUAUAGAUGUGGUGGCUAUAAAUAUGGAGAAGAAUCGUGUUCACCACGUAGAUCACUCUUUGUAGUUCGUAUGAGACCAGUAAUCGCACCUCGAAAGCCAAUAUCACCACCUGAUAAUGGAUCUUGAGAAGAGUUUGAGUAACAAAAAAAAAAUAUUAAGCAAGAAUUUUAUAUUGUAUUUAUGUUUAAAUAUAUAUGUUGCUGGACAAUUGUAUGUUUGGAUAUUCUAAAAUUGCUUACUCCAUGAUAGAUCUUCAAUGGAGUUAAGCUAGUAAUAAAUAAUACUUUUGUUAA